CCGGGUGUGGCGAAGGUGGUAUCGCGCUAGGUUUGGGACCUAGAGAUUUUCGCCCGUUCGAGUCGGGUCACCCGGACCA
rnacentral:tRNA from 1 species